rnacentral:rRNA from 1 species
CAGCAGCAGCCACGGGAAUACGUAGGUGGCAAGCGUUGUCCGGAAUUAUUGGGCGUAAAGCGCACGUAGGCGGCUUUGUAAGUUAGAGGUGAAAGCCUGGAGCUCAACUCCAGAAUUGCCUUUAAGACUGCAUCGCUCGAAUCCAGGAGAGGUGAGUGGAAUUCCGAGUGUAGAGGUGAAAUUCGUAGAUAUUCGGAAGAACACCAGUGGCGAAGGCGGCUCACUGGACUGGUAUUGACGCUGAGGUGCGAAAGCGUGGGGAGCAAACAGGAUUAGAUACCCCUGUAGUCCCUGUCUCUUAUAC